GAGCCCAUAGGGGUGACACCUCCAUCCUGAGCCCACCCUACUGAAAGAUACUGCCAUUUUGACUGAUCUUUGUCAGUGUCAUCACAUUGGCAGCUCAGCAUAAGAGCUUAAAAACUGCCAUGCAUCAGAGCCCAGCCUGUGCCAAGCAGUGCCUGCAUGAGGAGCAGCCAAAAGGCUUUAACACCACAGCGGCACAACAGAGGGGCCUUCAUCCAUUGCCUGCCUUGUAACUCACUGCUCGCUUCCCUCGGACUGCUCUUAGCAUUUAGCACCCUGAGCCCCCACAUGGCAGCGUUCCUUCUCCUACAGGGGGAACACGUCCUCUGAAAUGGAACACUGAGGGCCCUUUUGUUGUGGCUGUUGGUGACAUGCAGUCCCAAGCCAGGCUGCAGCCAGUUGGCACAGGGCAGGGCGGCACCACUGGCGAUGCUAUUUACAGUGAAUGGGAGAGAACCUCACUCCACACCCAGCUGCAGCCACAGUCCUGGGAUGAAGCAGCAGAAACAUCAAAAAAGGGAAAAGGCCUUCUCUUGGGAAAGGUGCAGCCACCGAGGGACCCUCACUGGGAUGAACCCCACAACCUGACCUGAGCUUCAGCAUUAACCCGGGACCAUCACAAAACCCACGGCAGAGACGCUGGUCAUGAGGAUGAUGGGGACAGUGGCAAGGGCCGGGAUGUUCUCAGAGAUGCCUCUCUCCUCCCCAGCAACAAGGGAAGCCUGCAGGAUGUCACUGGAGCAGAAGGUUGGGCAUGAAUCACGGAUCUGUGCUCUGGAAGGGUUCUGGUGUCUGCUGGGGCCGAGUGGGGCAAUUUUCCCAGCAACAGAAGACUGAGGGUGGGGGUGGAGACAGCCCUGCACGGCCCCGUGUCCCCCGUCCCUCCUGCCACCAGCACAUCGCAGUACCCACCCACCUUCACCCCAAGUCCCUUUGGGGUUCAGCAAACAGGAAACCACCCUGAAACUCAAUCACAC
ensembl:lncRNA